GCCAAAUGAUGUCAACUCAGUGGCAUUAGCACUCUGUGCAAAGAUGACUUUGAUCUAUCACCCAAUGCUGAUGGCU